CCGUCGCUUACCAGCACUCUAUGGUGUCAAGUGGCAUUUUACAUUGUCUUUGUUUGCCUUGGCUCAUCUCCCGGCAGGCGUACGAACGAACCAAUUAAUAAAACCAAUUAACAAAAUGGAAAAGGCCCACCAACAACGGAUGGGCUCAGAUAAGAAAGGGUAUGAUGGCGGUGGGUCACCACUAAAAUAAAACGCUGUUAAUUAGUUGGAGUUUUCCACCAGGCGCUCAGCGCACAUUAGAAGGCGGUAAUUAGCUGCACAAAACUAAAGCCCAUCAACGACCGGCCAUCAAACACAAACCCGGACGGAAGGGAAAUCUCUUUAAUUUUGUUUUUAAAUGUGAAUUCCUUUGCUGGGUUUUGUUUUAAUUGCAAAGUCAUUCCAUGCAUUUGGUGUUCGCCCUCAUGACGUGAUGACAAAUUUAAUGAGGGAAAACAGCAACACACUCGCACAAAAAGAAUGCUAAGAAAACAAAAAUGCAGAUGGGAAUUCACGAGAAUGCAAUAAAGUUUCCCCAAUUUCUAAUGGUACAGUUUCUUCCCUUAUCAUACUCACCCUCGCCACAUAAACAUAAUGAGCUCAGUAAUUAAUGACUGUGAGAAAACCGAGCUAUUGCUGCUCUAGCAGUGCAAUGCCUGGCACGAGUCAAAAAAAACCCAAAAACAAUUUAAUUAUGCAAAAUGAGAGAAUAACACUAUUCAUUAUUUCGAUGUCCAAAAGAAUGAGAGAAUAAGAGAAGAGAAAGGAAAUGAAGACUUUGUUUCUCUAAAGCCACAAAUGGUGUGAGCAGUAAGGAAGGUGAUUCAAGUAUGCCCCUAGGCAUUUAAACAUUUUGUGCGUAAAUAUUUAAUUAGCUAUUCGACAAAAUGAUUAAAGCAAAAAAAUAAAAACACAA